rnacentral:rRNA from 1 species
AGAGUUUGAUCAUGGCUCAGAACGAACGCUGGCGGCGUGGAUAAGACAUGCAAGUCGGACGCUUGUAUUUUUAUAGCAAUAUGAGGAUACGGGAGUGGCGAAAGGGUGCGUAACACGUGGGUAAUUUGUCCAAGAGUUCAGGAUAAUUCGCUGAAAGGCGGAGUAAUACUGGAUGUGGAUAUUGACUGGGAACAGUUGAUUUCUAAAGCCGGGGACCGCAAGGCCUGGUGCUCAUGGGUAAGCCCGCGACCUAUCAGCUAGUUGGUGAGGUAAGAGCUCACCAAGGCGGAGACGGGUAGCUGGUCUGAGAGGACGACCAGCCACACUGGAACUGAGACACGGUCCAGACACCUACGGGUGGCAGCAGUCGAGAAUUUUUCUCAAUGGGGGAAACCCUGAAGGAGCGACGCCGCGUGGGGGAUGAAGGGCUUCGGCUCGUAAACCCCUGUCAUUUGUGAGCAAGUGUUAUUGUUUAAGAGAUGAUGACAUUGAUAGUAGCAAAAGAGGAAGGGACGGCUAACUCUGUGCCAGCAGCCGCGGUAAUACAGAGGUCCCAAGCGUUGUUCGGAAUCACUGGGCGUAAAGGGUGCGUAGGCGGUAUAGUAAGACUUGGGUGAAAUCUCCAUGCUUAACGUGGAGGGAGCCUGGGAGACUGCUGUGCUAGAGGAUUGGAAGGGAGACUGGAAUUCUUGGAGUAGCAGUGAAAUGCGUAGAUAUCAAGAGGAACACCAGUGGCGAAGGCGAGUCUCUGGACAAGACCUGACGCUGAGGCACGAAGGCCAGGGGAUCAAACGGGAUUAGAUACCCCGGUAGUCCUGGCAGUAAACGGUGCACACUUGCUGUGUGAGG